rnacentral:rRNA from 1 species
GAUGAACGCUAGCGGCAGGCCUAAUACAUGCAAGUCGAACGAUAGUAACCAGCUUGCUGGUUACGAAAGUGGCGCACGGGUGCGUAACGCGUAUGCAACCUACCUUAAUCAGGGGGAUAGCCCGAAGAAAUUCGGAUUAACGCCGCAUAAAAUCACAGCACAGCAUUGUGUAAUGAUCAAAUAUUUAUAGGAUUAAGAUG